GGCCUUGGCGGGGUGCUAUAAUGCAGUCGAGCGAACUGAUUAGAAGCUUGCUUCUAUGACGUUAGCGGCGGACGGGUGAGUAACACGUGGGCAACCUGCCUGUAAGACUGGGAUAACUUCGGGAAACCGAAGCUAAUACCGGAUAGGAUCUUCUCCUUCAUGGGAGAUGAUUGAAAGAUGGUUUCGGCUAUCACUUACAGAUGGGCCCGCGGUGCAUUAGCUAGUUGGUGAGGUAACGGCUCACCAAGGCAACGAUGCAUAGCCGACCUGAGAGGGUGAUCGGCCACACUGGGACUGAGACACGGCCCAGACUCCUACGGGAGGCAGCAGUAGGGAAUCUUCCGCAAUGGACGAAAGUCUGACGGAGCAACGCCGCGUGAGUGAUGAAGGCUUUCGGGUCGUAAAACUCUGUUGUUAGGGAAGAACAAGUACGAGAGUAACUGCUCGUACCUUGACGGUACCUAACCAGAAAGCCACGGCUAACUACGUGCCAGCAGCCGCGGUAAUACGUAGGUGGCAAGCGUUAUCCGGAAUUAUUGGGCGUAAAGCGCGCGCAGGCGGUUUCUUAAGUCUGAUGUGAAAGCCCACGGCUCAACCGUGGAGGGUCAUUGGAAACUGGGGAACUUGAGUGCAGAAGAGAAAAGCGGAAUUCCACGUGUAGCGGUGAAAUGCGUAGAGAUGUGGAGGAACACCAGUGGCGAAGGCGGCUUUUUGGUCUGUAACUGACGCUGAGGCGCGAAAGCGUGGGGAGCAACAGGAUUAGAUACCCUGGUAGUCCACGCCGUAAACGAUGAGUGCUAAGUGUUAGAGGGUUUCCGCCCUUUAGUGCUGCAGCUAACGCAUUAAGCACUCCGCCUGGGGAGUACGGUCGCAAGACUGAAACUCAAAGGAAUUGACGGGGGCCCGCACAAGCGGUGGAGCAUGUGGUUUAAUUCGAAGCAACGCGAAGAACCUUACCAGGUCUUGACAUCCUCUGACAACUCUAGAGAUAGAGCGUUCCCCUUCGGGGGA
rnacentral:rRNA from 1 species